UCUAACGGCCAAAAAAUCGAAAGUAUCAAAUCUUUUCUUAUAGUAUAGUAGCUCUACUCUCUCUCUCUCUCUCUCUCUCUCUCUCUCUCUCUCUAUAUAUAUAUAUAUAUAUGUUUGGUGUUAUAUUUGAAAUCAUCUUUUAAAUUUUUAGAUUUAAUAUAAUAUAUUUUUGAAAUAUGAUAAAGAAAAAUAAUUAUUUCGGAUUGGGAUUUUCGAAUUUGGAUUCGGAUUAGGAUUUAAAUAUGGACUUUUAAAAUCUGUGGAAUUCACGUUUGGAUUUGGAUUUCGGGUUUGCAGUUU
rnacentral:lncRNA from 1 species